rnacentral:rRNA from 1 species
UACCCGCGCCCCGAGUGGUGGUCGAUAUUAUUGAGCCUAAAACGUCCGUAGCCGGUCUUCUAAAUCCUUGGGUAAAUCGGGCAGCUUAACUGUCCGAAGUCCGGGGAGACUGGGAGACUUGGGACCGGGAGAGGUCAGAGGUACUUCUGGGGUAGGGGUAAAAUCCUGUAAUCCUGGAAGGACCACCGGUGGCGUAGGCGUCUCACCAGAACGGCUCCGACAGUGAGGGACGAAGCCCUGGGGCGCAAACGGG